GUGCCUUUUUCUGUAUAUCAGCUAAAGCUGUAACUUCAUUAUUUUCCAUAGGGAUACAUACUAUUUCCAGAACCAUCAAAUAAAAGGAACAUUAUUUCUCCACUGCCCUGCCAUGCCAUCUUUGUUUUAAAUCAAGUGCUCAGAGUGAAAGAUCAAAUUUCUGAAGCAAUGGUGACAGGAAGCCUAGAGAAGAAAGAAGUAGACCUGAGUGCUCCCUAAGAAUGUAUGGCAUGCUAAUAAACAUGCUUACAGAUCCAGUAAUUCCACUUCUGGAUAUUUAUCUGAAGAAAAUGAA
rnacentral:lncRNA from 1 species